rnacentral:rRNA from 1 species
GACGAACGCUGGCGGCGUGCCUAAUACAUGCAAGUUGAGCGCUGAAGGUUGGUACUUGUACCCACUGGAUGAGCAGCGAACGGGUGAGUAACGCGUGGGGAAUCUGCCUUUGAGCGGGGGACAACAUUUGGAAACGAAUGCUAAUACCGCAUAAAAACUUUAAACACAAGUUUUAAGUUUGAAAGAUGCAAUUGCAUCACUCAAAGAUGAUCCCGCGUUGUAUUAGCUAGUUGGUGAGGUAAAGGCUCACCAAGGCGAUGAUACAUAGCCGACCUGAGAGGGUGAUCGCCCACAUUGGGAAUGAGACACGGCCCAAACUCCUACGGGAGGCAGCAGUAGGGAAUCUUCGGCAAUGGACGAAAGUCUGACCGAGCAACGCCGCGUGAGUGAAGAAGGUUUUCGGAUCGUAAGACUCUGUUGGUAGAGAAGAACGUUGGUGAGAGUGGAAAGCUCAUCAAGUGACGGUAACUACCCAGAAAGGGACGGCUAACUACGUG